UGUAUAAUGGGUCAGCGACUUAUAUUCUGUAGCAAGGUUAACCGAAUAGGGGAGCCGAAGGGAAACCGAGUCUUAACUGGGCGUUAAGUUGCAGGGUAUAGACCCGAAACCCGGUGAUCUAGCCAUGGGCAGGUUGAAGGUUGGGUAACACUAACUGGAGGACCGAACCGACUAAUGUUGAAAAAUUAGCGGAUGACUUGUGGCUGGGGGUGAAAGGCCAAUCAAACCGGGAGAUAGCUGGUUCUCCCCGAAAGCUAUUUAGGUAGCGCCUCGUGAAUUCAUCUCCGGGGGUAGAGCACUGUUUCGGCAAGGGGGUCAUCCCGACUUACCAACCCGAUGCAAACUGCGAAUACCGGAGAAUGUUAUCACGG
rnacentral:rRNA from 1 species